rnacentral:rRNA from 1 species
AGAGUUUGAUCCUGGCUCAGAACGUACGCUGGCGGCACGCCUAACACAUGCAAGUCGAACGCAGUAGCAAUACUGAGUGGCGAACGGGUGAGUAUAAUGUAGGUAUCUGCCUUUUGGUUUGGAAUAACACGAGGAAACUUGUGCUAAUACCGGAUAAGCCUUCACAGGGAAAGUUUUAUACGCCAAAAGAUGAGCCUGCACUUGAUUAGCUAGUUGGUAAGGUAAUAGCUUACCAAGGCUACGAUCAAUAGCUGAUCUGAGAGGAUGAUCAGCCACAUUGGGACUGAGACACGGCCCAAACUCCUACGGGAGGCAGCAGUGGGGAAUCUUGCACAAUGGGGGAAACCCUGAUGCAGCGAUGCCGCGUGAGUGAAGAAGGCCCUUGGGUUGUAAAGCUCUUUCGUCGGGGAAGAAAAUGACUGUACCCGAAUAAGAAGGUCCGGCUAACUUCGUGCCAGCAGCCGCGGUAAUACGAAGGGACCUAGCGUAGUUCGGAAUUACUGGGCUUAAAGAGUACGUAGGUGGUUAAAAAAGUUGGUGGUGAAAUCCCAGAGCUCAACUCUGGAACUGCCAUCAAAACUUUUUAACUAGAGUAUGAUAGAGGUAAGCGGAAUUUCUAGUGUAGAGGUGAAAUUCGUAGAUAUUAGAAAGAACACCGAAUGCGAAGGCAGCUUUCUGGAUCAUUACUGACACUGAGGUACGAAAGCAUGGGUAGCGAAGAGGAUUAGAUACCCUCGUAGUCCAUGCCGUAAACGAUGUGUGCUAGACGUUGGGAAUUUAUUUUUCAGUGUCGCAGCAAAAGCGUUAAGCACACCGCCUGGGGAGUACGACCGCAAGGUUAAAACUCAAAUGAAUUGACGGGGACCCGCACAAGUAGUGGAGCAUGUGGUUUAAUUCGAAGAUACGCGCAGAACCUUACCAACACUUGACAUGUUCGUCGCGACUCUAAGAGAUUAGAGUUUUCGGUUCGGCCGGACGAAACACAGGUGCUGCAUGGCUGUCGUCAGCUCGUGUCGUGAGAUGUUGGGUUAAGUCCCGCAACGAGCGCAACCCUCAUUUUUAGUUGCCAUCAUUAAGUUGGGCACUCUAAAAAAACUGCCAGUGAUAAGCUGGAGGAAGGUGGGGAUGACGUCAAGUCCUCAUGGCCCUUACGUGUUGGGCUACACACGUGCUACAAUGGUACUUACAGCGUGAUGCUAAGACGCGAGUCCAAGCAAAACACAAAAAGGUACCUCAGUUCGGAUUGCACUCUGCAACUCGAGUGCAUGAAGCUGGAAUUACUAGUAAUCGCGGAUCAGCGCGCCGCGGUGAAUACGUUCCCGGGUCUUGUACACACCGCCCGUCACACCAUGGAAGUUGGUUUCACCUUAAGGCAAAAUGUUAACCCUCGGGAAACAUUUGACUACGGUACGAUCAGCGACUGGGGUGAAGUCGUAACAAGGUAACC